rnacentral:rRNA from 1 species
ACUUAAAUUGAAGAGUUUGAUCAUGGCUCAGAUUGAACGCUGGCGGCAGGCUUAACACAUGCAAGUCGAGCGGUAGCACAGAGAGCUUGCUCUCGGGUGACGAGCGGCGGACGGGUGAGUAAUGUCUGGGAAACUGCCUGAUGGAGGGGGAUAACUACUGGAAACGGUAGCUAAUACCGCAUAACGUCGCAAGACCAAAGUGGGGGACCUUCGGGCCUCAUGCCAUCAGAUGUGCCCAGAUGGGAUUAGCUAGUAGGUGGGGUAACGGCUCACCUAGGCGACGAUCCCUAGCUGGUCUGAG